UUGAACGCUGGCGGUAUGCUUUACACAUGCAAGUCGAACGGGCUAUGGGGCUUGCUCCAUAGUUAGUGGCGAACGGGUGAGUAAUAUAUCGGAACAUAUCCGGAAGUGGGGGAUAACGUAGCGAAAGUUACGCUAAUACCGCAUAUGCCCUGAGGGGGAAAGGGGGGGAUCGCAAGACCUCUCGCGAUCGGAGCGGCCGAUGUCAGAUUAGGUAGUUGGUGGGGUAAAGGCUCACCAAGCCGACGAUCUGUAGCUGGUCUGAGAGGACGACCAGCCACACUGGGACUGAGACACGGCCCAGACUCCUACGGGAGGCAGCAGUGGGGAAUUUUGGACAAUGGGCGAAAGCCUGAUCCAGCAAUGCCGCGUGCAGGAAGAAGGCCUUCGGGUUGUAAACUGCUUUUGUACGGAGCGAAAAGGCUCUCUCUAAUACAGGGGGCUCAUGACGGUACCGUAAGAAUAAGCACCGGCUAACUACGU
rnacentral:rRNA from 1 species